GGAAGGAUCAUUAGAGUGAAAAAUGUUCUCAAAAAAAAGGGGGGUCAGUCUCUGAUAAGGAGAUUGACAUUUCCCUGAUAAACUAGUGAAACGUUAAAGUCUUACUUUUUAACUACAAAUACAAAAUAUGGCUGAUCAUCCAACGAAGAUUUUUACCGAUCUUUGUGAAUCUAAAUUACAACUUUUAGCAAUGGAUGUCUCGGCUCCCACAUCGAUGAAGAGCGCAGCGAAAUGCGAUAACUAGUGUGAAUUGCAGAACUCAGCGAAUCAUCGAACUCUUGAACGCAUCUUGCACCCUCUGGAAACGGAGGGUAUGUCUGUUUGAGUGUUGGUUCAAUAUUAUCACAAUCAAAUCUAUUUGAUAUGUGGAAUUUGAUCGUUUGGAAACCAGCUUUCCAUCGAUUUAAGCAAAGAAAAGGCGAAGUAAUCAUUUACUUGAACUUUUACAUUAGUGUUGUAGGUUUCGACCCCUCAUUUGAUGUAUCUGUUAAUAAGAACUUGAUUCUUCAAAAUCCCUUUCCAAUAGAGGUUUCCAUUGAGAACAUCCCUCUAAUUUUACCAAUCAUCAACCUCAAAUCAGUCAAGAUCACCCCCUGAACUUAAGCAUAUCAAUAAGGGGAGGAAAAGAAACUAACAAGGAUUCCCUCAGUAACGGCGAGUGAAGCGGGAACAGCUCAAACUUGGAAUCGAAGAGGCAUUGCUUCUUUGAAUUGUAGUUUUGUGAACAACUUCAAAGGAAUGGAAUGAUGUUAAAGUCUGUUGGAAUACAGCGCCAAAGAGGGUGAUAGCCCCGUAAAUGACAUUAUUCUGUUCCGUAUGUUGUUGUUUCAGAGAGUCGGGUUGUUUGGGAGUAUAGCCCUAAAUUGGUGGUAAGUUCCAUCUAAAGCUAAAUAUGGGUGGGAGACCGAUAGCGAACAAGUACCGCGAGGGAAAGAUGAAAAGAACUUUGAAAAGAGAGUUCAAAGGACCUGAAAUUGCUAAAAAGAAGCGAUUAGUACUUUCGAAUGGGAUGGUGGAGAUUCAGGUUGGGGGAGAUGGAAGUGGGGGAACACAAGUUGGGAUACUAACUGUUCUUUUCUCAUUUGAAGUCUUUCUUAGCUGCACUUUUCUAUCAUUCCAAGCAUCGUGAGUUUUGAAUCGGUUAAAAUAGAGUAGAAAGGUAAUUUGACUGAGGUCAAGUGAAUAUCUACUUUGAUGACCUUUUCUAGACUGAGGGUCUGUUCUCAGACAAAGAGUGUGCUUAGCGGUGUAAAGGGGUGAAAUGGGGGGUAGAUUGUUGGGGGUGCUUGCACUGACGAUAAUCUGCUUUUUAUCCAACCUCUGUCAUCUUACACUCUAAAGACGAUGUAGAUUGUACCAAUUGUCCCGUCUUGAAACACGGACCAAGGAGUCUAACGUAUGUGCAAGUUAAUGGGUGAGUAAAACCCACAAGCGAAAUGAAAGUAAUUGGUGUGAAGGACUUUAAAUAUCCUGCAACAUCAUCCGGCUUGAGAACUUUGUUCAAAGGUCUGAGAUUGAGCACAUGCGUCAGGACCCGAAAGAUUGCGAACUAUGCCUGUAUAGGGUGAAGCCAGGAGAAAUUCUGGUGGAGGCUCGUAGCGGUUCUAACGUGCAAAUUGAUCGUCCAAUAUGGGUAUAGCGGCGAAAGACUAAUCGAGCAGUCUAGUAGCUGGUUCCCUC
rnacentral:misc_RNA from 1 species